rnacentral:rRNA from 1 species
CAGUAGCCACGGUAAAACGAAGGGUGCAAGCGUUACUCGGAAUUACUGGGCGUAAAGCGUGCGUAGGUGGUGGUUUAAGUCCGUUGUGAAAGCCCUGGGCUCAACCUGGGAAUUGCAGUGGAUACUGGAUCACUAGAGUGUGGUAGAGGAUAGUGGAAUUUCCGGUGUAGCAGUGGAAUGCGUAGAGAUCGGAAGGAACAUCUGUGGCGAAGGCGACUAUCUGGGACAACACUGACGCUGAGGCACGAAAGCGUGGGGAGCAAACAGGAUUAGAUACCCGCGUAGUCCCUGUCUCUUAUAC